AUGCGAAACCGGCCAACACGGCCGGUCUGCCAGACGUGGUUGUCUGGUACUGAUGAGCAGCCAAGA
rnacentral:hammerhead_ribozyme from 1 species